GAUGAAGAACGUAUCGAACUGCGAUAAGUAAUGUGAAUUGCAGAAUUCAGUGAAUCAUCGAGUCUUUGAACGCACAUUGCGCCCCCUGGCAUUCCGGGGGGCAUGCCUGUCCGAGCGUCAUUGCUGCCCUUCAAGCCCGGCUUGUGUGUUGGGUCGUCGUCCCCCCCGGGGGACGGGCCCGAAAGGCAGCGGCGGCACCGCGUCCGGUCCUCGAGCGUAUGGGGCUUUGUCACCCGCUCGAUUAGGGCCGGCCGGGCGCCAGCCGGCGUCUCCAACCUUCUAUUUUACCAGGUUGACCUCGGAUCAGGUAGGGAUACCCGCUGAACUUAAGCAUAUCAAUAAGCGGAGGA
rnacentral:misc_RNA from 1 species